UACGUAGGGGGCAAGCGUUGUCCGAAGUUACUGGGCGUAAAGCGCGCGUAGGCGGGUUGGUAAGUCCGCUGUGAAAGCCCGGAGCUCAACUCCGGAGGGUCGGUGGAUACUGCCAGUCUUGAAGGUGCUAGGGGGAGAUGGAAUUACCGGUGUAGCGGUGAAAUGCGUAGAUAUCGGGAGGAACACCUGUGGCGAAAGCGGCUCACUGGACCACAACUGACGCUGAGGCGCGAAAGCUAGGGGAGCAAACAGG
rnacentral:rRNA from 1 species